rnacentral:rRNA from 1 species
GGUCAAGCAAGAAAGAGCAUAAGGUGAAUGCCUUGGCACUAGGAGCCGAUGAUAGACGUGGUAAGCUGCGAUAAGCUUCGGGGAGGCGCAAACAGCCAUCGAUCCGGAGAUUUCUGAAUGGGGAAACCUACUUGAGCAAACCUCAAGUAUCCAUGCGUGAAUCCAUAGCGUAUGGAAGGGAACGCUGUGAACUGAAACAUCUAAGUAGCAGUAGGAGGAGAAAGAAAACUCGAUUUCCUUAGUAGCGGCGAGCGAACGGGAAAGAGGCCAAACCGAAGGACCUGGUUCUUCGGGGUUGCGGACUGCAUUUAGCAUCGCGAAUCGAUAGCCGAAUGGUUUUGGGAAAGCCAACCAUAGACGGUGAAAGUCCAGUAGGCGAAAUCGUGAAGCGGCGAGCAGGAUCCAGAGUACCACGAGACACGAGAAACCUUGUGGGAAGCCGGGGGGACCACCCCCCAAGCCUAAAUACUCCCUAGUGACCGAUAGUGAAGCAGUACUGUGAAGGAAAGGUGAAAAGGACCCCGGGAGGGGAGUGAAAGAGCACCUGAACCCUUAUGCUUACAACCAGUCAGAGGGCUUAGUGCCUGAUGGCGUACUUUUUGUAGAACGGUCCGGCGAGUUACUAAUGCCAGCGAGGUUAAGUGCUUAGAAGGCACGGAGCCGAAGGGAAACCAAGUCUUAAUAGGGCGUAAAGUUAGUAUUAGUAGACCCGAAACCG